ensembl:lncRNA
GUUUCAGGCCAAGAGAGUAGCAUGACUUCUUUCGCUCUGUUUUUUCUUUCCCAGGCUUUCCCAAACGCCCCAGCAAUAAGGUUAACACGAGAAUACUAAACAGUCAAAAAGCCUUGAGAAAAUGUGUGUGCAUAUUUUAUAUUGAUUAUUGUGUAGCUUACAUGUUCGGCCUCCUUUGCUUGGACCAAAAGGGGAAAAAAGGGGUAACUUUGUUUUUGCAGUUGGGGCAUGGGAAAACAAAAACUCCUUGUUGCUCUUUAGUUUUUGUUGGAUUGAUUUUUUUUUUUUUGACUAUCUGAGACCAUAUUUCAAAUGACAUAAGCUGCAAGGUACCCCUUCAUUCGUGUGUAGCAUUUAUGUAUGUGUGUUAGAAUUACCAUGUUAAGGCGCUGACCUCAGCCUGUUUUCUUUUUCUGUGACUUGUUCCUGUUACCCUGAUGUCGAAUUCCUCCACUACUACCACAAACCACUGCUCACAACCCUCCCUUCACACUAGCUACCUCCUGUGACCAUACAGCUAACCACCAGGAGAGGUUGACCUGGACUUUGAAAAGCUGGGUUGAGAGCAGACAUGGACACACACACAUGCCCGCUCAAAAGUCGUCAUAAAAGGAAAUAGCGUUGUAGGGAACUGUCUUUACUCCUAAUGUUUAAAUCUAUUUAUUCCUCUCAGACCCUAGUGUCUUUCUUUUUCUUUUUUAAAACACAUCCCACUAAAAAAACUGAUACUGCUAGAAUUUAGUAACAGGCACACAUGCAGUCAGACCUCCGUAUUACCAAACCGAUCAGAGAAUUGACCAUGACAUGCCAUCUGUUGUCCAAAACCAAUAAAAGCACAGACCAAAGUACUCCUGUAUUGCCAUAGUAGGUUCUGAAAUGGUGUGAAUCAGCAGACCAGAAGUAAUAAAGGUUAGAGCUCAGCUACACCAGUUAACCAAAGUGUCUGAAAUACACACGCUCAGAGCCCAGGAGUGAAGACCGCCCUCAAUGAACCGGCUGAGUUUCAGAAGUGUAGAAUUAUUAUUCAAGCAAUCAAAGCGCUUGUUGUCUACAUACUGAAAAGUGCUUCUGUAAAAAUAAUAGAAGCCUCUCCUUUCAAACAGCCUACUGAUUGCGUGUUCUUACAGUCACAAAGCCUUGCAGAGAUAAAAAUGAAUGCGUGGUGUGUGUGCGUGUGUGUGCAUAUGGUUGUGUGUGUGUGUUUUUGUAAGUCUUUUUUUCUUUAUGUCUCUGUACAAACUACUUGAAACCUUCAGAGCUUUAAUGAAACAUCCCAGGCAGUGUACAGUGGCACAUUGAUUCACAGUAUGUAGCAGCAGCUUUUUGCAGUACAGUGACACGUUUUUCUAUAACAUCCACAUCCACGCAACAUUGUGGCGGCAGUUCCGUUCAUCUUUCGAGCGCGCUGCUUGUGUGUGUGCCUCCAUGUCUGUGAGUAAGCCCUCAGAUAAACGAAACAAAGCCAAACCCAACAGACCAUUAUAAAUGACCAAAACACAACCAAAAGCUACAACCAUCUCAGUUCAAUUUCACUUUGGUUCUAAUUUUUGUGUUAUGUCCCAGCAGUAGAGAACGUCAGCUGUGAUUGAUUGCGUGAGAUAUGAGACUGCAGUUCAAAUCUGCACAGGAAAGAGCAAAAUUGUCCUUCACUCCUCCCGGGUUCAGUGGACAGUAGGAUACAGAAGAUCAGCUGGGGUAAUGAAACAAAUGCAAUUAGUGCAUUAGUGCUGUGGUGUCAUUUACUUUUCUCUGUGAAGAUAUUAUAUAUGGCAAACGCAUAAGGGCUCUGCUGUUGUGAAUACCAUCCAAGGGUCUCCAAACACUUUGCAUCGGCCAUGUGUCUUAUUUGUUUAACUAUGUACAUGAUAUGGGCAAAACACAUGUUUAGAGAAGACAGAUAUUAGCAGGUUGGUGUUUGUUCCUCCCAACUCCAACCAGAGAAGCUUCAAAGCUCAUCAGAUGUGACGCUGACUUGUCCUUCCUGUGAAACAGGCUCCAAUAUAUAGCUACAGUAGAAAGCUAAGGUGGUAAACAGUGGAUACAGAACUUGUUUUCCCAAAAGCCAUGGCUCAGGAUGGUCUUGUUUUUAUCUUUACAUAAACUGAAUAAAGGUUUAUGGUUUUUUUAUGUGUAGGGAAGCAUUCUAUACUGUAAUGUGCAAUACAUUAUUACAGAAAAACAUGUUUCUGUAGGAAAGGAUGGCGCUUUGAAGAUCUUUUCCCUUUUGUUUAAUUUCCCUCUUCAAACGGUCCUGUUGCCAUUUUUAGAUGAAGUAAACUGUGCCAGAAGAAUUCAAUUCUGAUUUGUAUUUAUUUCUUGCAUGCUUUCCUCCCUGUUGCUAAUACCGCUCUUUAACUGUUCGCUCUGUUGGAUGUGUGAAGCUGUAAAACAUUCUAAUUCAGGUUAUUGUCUGUGUUGAACAAUGUAACUGUGUAAUUAAAACAUGAAAUGAAGUAU